AUGUAGAUCACCUGGGGAUCUUGUUAAAAUGCAGAUUCUGGUUCAAUAGGAAUGAAUUCUGCAUUUCUAACAGGACCCCAUGAUUUUAAU
rnacentral:pre_miRNA from 10 species